GAGGAGUCAUUUGGAGUCAUUUAGAGCUUGAGGAGUAGGAUUUGCGUAGCGAAGUGAACUACGAAGUUGAAGAUCAAGGUAAAAUAAUUCAUCUUAGUAGCAAAAAAGGAGGAGAUGACGUGAUUGAAGAAAUUGUGUUUCCAUCUUCGCUGUCCCUUUUGAGGUUGACUCCAUUCAUAUAGUACUGGUGACGGAAAUUUAUU